GUCUGUAUGAGAGUUAUAUAAAGUCUGGCCUGCCCAUUGGGGUACUAAAAGGCCGCGGUAUUGUGACCGUGCGAAGGUAGCAUAAUCAUUAGUCUUUUAAUUGGAGGCUGGUAUGAAUGGUCGGACGAGAAGUAAGCUGUCUUUAUCUCAUAGAUUGAAUUUAACUUUUAAGUGAAAAGGCUUAAAUGGGUUAGAGGGACGAUAAGACCCUAUAAAGUUUAUACAUGGAGUUAAUCAAGAGUGAUUUGGAAUAGUAAAGUUCAUUAUUAGCAAGAUGUUUAGUUGGGGUGACUAGAAUAUAAGUUAUAUAACUGUUUUUUGUUUUAAUCAGAGAUAUCUGUUUGUAUGGUCCCUUUUUAGGAUUAGAGAGUAAAUUACUUUAGGGAUAACAGCGUAAUUUUUUUUAAGAGUUCUUAUCGACAAAAGAGUUUGCGACCUCGAUGUUGAAUUAAAAAUUUCUUUGUGGCGUAGCAGUUACAAGAGAAGGUCUGUUCGACCUUUAAAUUUUUACAUGAUUUGAGUUCAGACCGGCGUGAGCCA
rnacentral:rRNA from 3 species